AGAUCCAGCGUGUUCUGUGCCUGAUGGAAGGAACAGUGGUUUAAGAAGCAGAGUACUCACGCUAAAAUAACAGCUCUAUUGCUAAUUAAAGAAUUCUGUCAAGUAUGCUGGACAGAAGUUUAACAGUGCUGUUGGAAGGACUUGGGAUCAGUGGACCUUGGCUGUGAACCUCAGUGGUCAGCUUUUAUUCAACUGUACUUUUCUUCUGUUAAUUGUGUUCCAUAUUUCUACAUUGUUUGGAGUGCACUGUAGCUGUCUUCAGACACACCAGAAGAAAGCACUGGAUCCCAUUACAUAUGGUUGGCAGACACCAUGUAGUUGCUGGGAAUUGAAUUCAGGACUCUGGAAGAGGAAUUGGUGCUCUUAACUGCUAUUUAUCUCUCCAGCCUUGUUUCUACUUUUUUAAAUUGUUUAUUAACUGAGGAGUGAAGCUAAUUCUUUAAAAAGGCUUUAUCACUACUGCCACAUAUAAGCCUUUAUUGUUGAAAGUCCUAAUUUAGAUUAAUAUUAUUAAUUAAAGUUCAUGUAUUGCUGAAUAUCAUCAUGAACAUUCACAGACACAUAUUUUUCAUUGUUACAAUCCAACAGUAUAUUCCUCAAUUUGUAUAUCUUAUUGCUUGGCAUUGUAACAGAUUCAUUGAUAGAAAUAUCUUCUCUUUGUUAAUAAAAUGGAAAGGAUUCAUAAGAUUAAUUACUUUGUUUCUAGAUGCUGCCAUGGAUAUAUAUAUGUGUGUGUGUGUGUAUACAUAUACACAUAUAUACAUAUAUCUUAAAUUAAUAAAUAUCAAUUAAAUGUAGCUAUUUUGAACUAAAUAUGGCAUACUUACUGAUUUUCAUUUUUCUUUCUAAAGAAUGCUGUUUUGCUUCAUUUUCUGUGACUAACAAUAGCACAGUAUAGACUGUUAUAAAGAAGAGAGAUUCAUUGGCUUACACUUCAGGAGUUUUAAAAGCUUAUGGGCCAUAUCUAAAUGACUUUUUGGUUCUUACAGAAUUGCAGACAUCAUAUAAUAUGAUACAGAUAAUGUGAGUUAGUUUAAUCUCUCUCUCUCUCAUUUUAUAAAGCUACUAGAAACAGCCAUGAGUAUUAGCAUUCAGUGAUUCAACCUCCAUUCUGAUGAGUAAAUCUCUUUCUAAAUAUUUCCUAACAUUUCCACCUCUAUCAAAACUAUGUGAUGAAGUCUCAACACUGAUAGUGAAAUACCUUCCACUGGAAAUUAUAUCCCAUAUGAGUUUUGCAGGGACACACCAUUUCCGAUUACACCAAACUACAUCGGCUAAGUGUUUUAGAACCUCAGAAUUAAUUCUGACUCUACCAAAUAGCAACUGUGAUCCGCGACAGUGAGUACGAUCAUUUGACCGGUUGCUUUGGCUUUCUUUCUGUAAACGGAAAUGAUAUUCAUAGCCAUCUGUCACAAAGUUGCUAUGAGGAUUAACUAAGCUAACAGACUAAUAUGUUGAGUGUCAGCACCGAGACAAGCAGGGCUUAAAAUGUAAGUCCAGUGUAAGCAUAAACUAUCUCCACUUCCCCUCUUGAAAACAGUUCUGCUUUUUGAAAUACUGCUUAUUCUCUCCACAGAUUUUAUUUUUCUCGAUCUGUUCAUGCCUUGAAUUGUUUUUGUAAGACUGUAAUUUUUCCUGAUUUGAAUUUUACUGAAUCCCGAUUGCUGUUCAAGACUUCCUUUAAAGUUCUUAGUCUGGUAAAUCUGAAUUUCAUUUGCAUUCAUCUUCACAUCCCAGAUUUCCCUCUUCUUGAGUACUCGCUUUCAUUUCAAUGCAUCUGCAUUCUCUAAGGUCUAACUUAUCACAUGAAUCUUAUAUUUUCUUCUGUUCAAAAUGUUUGCAAUGACUGUUCUAACACAGAGCAAUUGAUAUGGUUUCUACCUAGAGCCUGCACUGCUAUGGACUUGUGUUCAUAAUACUGGAAGGUAUUUUAAAUGUUACCAAAGGAGAAAGGUCAACACCAACCCAGUUACAAACUUUUCAAUCUACAAUGAUGUUCUGCUUGCAAGAUGUGCUAGUGCAAUAGUAGCAAAAAGCUUGUGGAAGUAACCACCAAACUGUAUGACUUGAUUUAGGCCCACUCCAUGAAAUGGAGACUGUUUGCAUCACUGAUUGGAUGGACAAGAAGCUAAGACCAGAUAGACCAAAGACCUACACCAAUGACCAAAUAUUACUGUUCAGCUAAAGGAAAAUCACCAUAAAAUGAUUGUUACAAGCAUUCUGAUAUCCUCAUAGAUUUUUACGAUGUUACAAUAGAAAACAAAUAUCAGAAAUAGCAAUGACUCUCAAUUAAGGUAUAUACAAAGUGAUUUUAAAUUAAGGAUGAGCUAUGUUAUAAAAGAUAAAAAGAAAAAAUAUGGAGAGAUCUCUGGAAGAACUAGUGGUGACUACUAACAGCCAAUAGUGGAAAUAACCAGCCACAUUUUACAAUGCAAGAUGGGCCAUUGGACUUCAUUGACUUCAAUUUUACAAAUUUUGGUUUAAAAAGAUAAUUAUUUCAAAAUAAUUUGCCAUUACCUGGCUUACCUAUUAAAACCUAUUUUUCAUGAUUUUGACAAUUUCUUUCGAUCCUUCUCUUAGUGAGCUUAAUGAUAUAUGGUUGAAUUUUCAAAGCACGAUUAUGGUUUUUAAACUUUGUUCUCAAUGGCCAAUAUCAAGCUGAAGAUGUUUGAAUUUAAGACUGAAGCAAGAUUGGAUGUUGAGAAGGUUGGUGGCUUUCAGAGCACAGAUAGAGAAUGUUAGUUCUGCUUGGAUCAUGUUCUGUUAUCUCAUUUUGGAUUUGAAGAAGCCAUACAUGGAUGUGCAUGUUUCGGUUUUUAACUUGCCAUUGGAUCUGUGUUUUGCCCUCUGCCCCUAUAUGUUUUAUUGCAAAGAGAGGGGAGAACAGAGGAAGGCAAAAAUAAUCAUAGCUCUUCAAAGUUUUGACUCCUGGUUCACUUGGAGAUGCCUGAGUGAGGCUCUUCAGGAGAAAAAAGAUAAAAUCUUUCUGUGCUUCAGGAAAGGUGAUCCCUUUAUAAACCAUGGAAUAUUUCACAGCUUAGUUGCAGAACUCAAGUUGUUUCACGCUCUAAGUGUCUUUCUCAGCACAUUUUGAUGUGCUUAUUUACCUGGAUAUAGCUGUGAUGUAAAGAAUAUAAUGAAUAAUUUAUUUAUUGGC
ensembl:lincRNA